CAGUAGCCGCGGUAAUACGUAGGGUGCGAGCGUUAAUCGGAAUUACUGGGCGUAAAGCGUGCGCAGGCGGUUUUGUAAGACAGGCGUGAAAUCCCCGGGCUUAACCUGGGAAUGGCGCUUGUGACUGCAAGGCUAGAGUGCGUCAGAGGGGGGUAGAAUUCCACGUGUAGCAGUGAAAUGCGUAGAUAUGUGGAGGAAUACCGAUGGCGAAGGCAGCCCCCUGGGAUAACACUGGCGCUCAUGCACGAAAGCGUGGGGAGCAAACAGGAUUAGAUACCCCCGUAGUCCCUGUCUCUUAUUA
rnacentral:rRNA from 1 species